GACGAACGCUGGCGGCGUGCUUAACACAUGCAAGUCGAACGAAGUGGCGAACGUGUUAGUAACGAGUAAUCAACCUGCCCUUCCGAAGGGGACAACAGUUGGUAACGACUGCUAAUACCGCAUACUGAAGGAGGGGAUGGCGUCUGAUUCGCUCGUUGGAGGGGUAACGGCCAACCAAGGCGAGGAUCAGUAGCCGGUCUGAGAGGAUGAACGGCCACAGUGGGACUGAGACACGGCCCAGACUCCUACGGGAGGCAGCAGUGGGGAAUCUUCCGCAAUGGACGAAAGUCUGACGGAGCAACGCCGCGUGAGUGAUGACGGCCUUCGGGUUGUAAAGCUCUGUUAAUCGGGACGCGGUACCGGAAUAGAAAGCCACGGCUAACUACGUGCCAGCAGCCGCGGUAAUAC
rnacentral:rRNA from 1 species